rnacentral:lncRNA from 1 species
GAAACUAGUAGAGAGCAGUGUUUUAACAACUUUUACUUGACGCCUAUGAUUCAAUAAUUACAAAUAAAAGGACUUUUAGGAUUUUUUUGAAUUUUGUACUAUAAAGUGUUUACGGACAUCGCCGUGUCCUACAUGCAUUUGUAUUGUACGCGGAAACGGAUCGAAAAAGAUGACUUUGCAUGCUGAGAUCCACAGAUAUCUAAGUGAUCCAUUACAGCUUUGUGAGGUCGAGUUCAUUGCAAAACUUUCGUGUCGCGAUACCAGCAGGUUUUAGAAGAAAUACAAAGUCUUCGAACAACUGCUGUUCGCAAUGAAUUAGAGGUCUUGGCAGCUUUAAGCAUUUAUGCCAAUGGAUCAUACAAAUGUCUCUGUGAUGGCUAAGGCAUCUUUUAGCAAAUGCCUCUGAAUACCCCAGCUGUUUAAAAAAAAUGUGUUAAGUUCCCUUUGCAUUAAACACAAAAUCAUUAUAAAUAAAUAUGUGAUGCCAAUUUAAUAAUAACAUAGUGGAUGCUCAAUUUGGUGGUGCAUCAUAUGACUUGUACAUGUGGAACCAGUGCAAUAAAACCACUUGAGGAAAACCUGCCUAAUAGGCUUAGGUGACCAAUGUUUGCAUGAUGACCAUCUUGGGAGCUGCUCCUAGAUCCCAUGAAGAUUUGCACAACAUUGCUGUGUCAGAAAUACGGUGGAGCCUUGUAGUUGGGUGCAUAUUGUAAAAAGUUUCUUCACUCCAGAACCAUGAACUCUGGUUUCCUAAGCCCUCAAGCUAUGCAGCCGAAGGAGGCGACUUAUCACAUGAGAUUUCACUAAUAAUUUUGAAGAAGUGAAGUUAAUGUUUCAACUAACACCUAAAGAAGCUUUCACUUGGCUGUUAGAUCAAGGGCUGGAUACAGAAAACAGUAAUCCUUGUGAUGGCGAGUAUUGUCCAAGGAUUCCUCAUAACAAGGAACCAUGAUAACAAGUUGCUAAAACCCUCAAGCUAUGCAGACAAAGGACUGGAUAUAUUUUUUCGUGACCAAGCCUUCAGUAUAAUUAUUUAUACUUAAACCAUACAAAGCACUAUCUAGCCCCAAAGUAGGCAUACAGAGUAGCUUGUGUUGUGGGUACUAAGAUAAUAGAUAAGAGAUAUUAUAAUAUUCAUUUACAUUUAUAUACUACCUAUAAAUAUAAUGUAUAAAUACACACAUACACUGGAAAA